rfam:Camelus ferus unplaced genomic scaffold scaffold591, whole genome shotgun sequence.
GGAGGUAUAGCUCAGGUGGUAGAGUGCAUUCUUAGCAUGCAUGAAGUCCUGGGUUCAAUUCCCAGUUCCUCCU